CCUUAACCCACUGAGCACGGCCAGGGAUCAAACCUGCACACUCACAGAGAUAACGUCAGGUCCUUAACCUGCUGAGCCACAAGGGGAACUCCAAUAAUAUUUAUUUACAAAAGCAUGUUCUGAGCAGAAUUUGACUUGUGGCCUGUAGUUGGCUGAUUUGAAGGUAUUUAAAAAGAGACAGGCGGCCCAGCUUCGCGAAAGCUCUCGGCACACCAUGGCCCGCAGGUACCCCAGACGUAGGCACCAGGCAUGCACCCGCUGCCACCAGGAUGCCCAGGAGGAAAGUCAGCUCCACGGAGGGGGCAGCGAAGAAGGAGCCCAAGAGGAGACUGGCGAGGUUGUCAGAUAAACCUGCUCCUGCAAAAAGUGGAAACGAAGCCAAAAAUAGGCAGCAGGAACGGAUAAUGCUUCAGACAAAAAAAUACAAACAGAAGGGAAAAGGGGAGCAAAGGGAAACAGGCCUAAGGGACCAAGCAAGAAACGGAAGAAGAUCCGCCUGCAGAAAACAGAGAAACUAAAAGCGAGGAGAGCCCAGCCUCUGAUGAAGCAGGAGAGAAGGAAGCCACGUCUGAUUAACAGCACACGCCCAGUCCUGUCCGUGGUCCCUGUGUCCCCUCUUGAACAAUCCAGAGGAAUCGUUUUAUCAACUAUUUUGUAAACGCAAGGUUUUUAGCAGCUCUAGAAACAUUUUUAAGAAGGAGGGAAUCCCACCGCAUCCCAUUUUUUAAGUGGAGAUGCUUUUUUUUAAGAGACAAAAUCAUUUGCUGGUUAUUUUUUGGUACAACCAGAAAAUAGUGGGAUAUUGAAUGUGGGAGGCUUUGAAUGUCUUGGGUGUCAGCUUAACAUUCCAUAGAUGGGGAGCUUUUAUAUCCUGUAAUACAAAGCGUACUAAAUGGUGAUUUGGAGUCAGUUGUGCAUUUAACGUCUUGAACACUCGAAAUUACUUCUCUUCC